AGCCAUGCAUGUCUAAGUAUAAGCAAAUUAUACGUGAAACUGCGAAUGGCUCAUUAAAUCAGUUAUCGUUUAUUUGAUAGUACCUUACUACAUGGAUAACCGUGGUAAUUCUAGAGCUAAUACAUGCUAAAAACCCCAACUUCGGGAGGGGUGUAUUUAUUAGAUAAAAAACCAAUGCCCUUCGGGGCUCUUUGGUGAUUCAUAGUAACUUAACGGAUCGCAUGGCCUUGCGCCGGCGACGGUUCAUUCAAAUUUCUGCCCUAUCAACUUUCGAUGGUAAGGUAUUGGCUUACCAUGGUUUCAACGGGUAACGGGGAAUUAGGGUUCGAUUCCGGAGAGGGAGCCUGAGAAACGGCUACCACAUCCAAGGAAGGCAGCAGGCGCGCAAAUUACCCAAUCCCGACACGGGGAGGUAGUGACAAUAAAUACUGAUACAGGGCUCUUUUGGGUCUUGUAAUCGGAAUGAGUACAAUUUAAACCCCUUAACGAGGAACAAUUGGAGGGCAAGUCUGGUGCCAGCAGCCGCGGUAAUUCCAGCUCCAAUAGCGUAUAUUAAAGUUGUUGCAGUUAAAAAGCUCGUAGUUGAACCUUGGGCCUGGCUGGCUGGUCCGCCUCACCGCGUGUACUGGUCCGGCCGGGCCUUUCCUUCUGGAGAACCCCAUGCCCUUCACUGGGUGUGUGGGGGAACCAGGACUUUUACUGUGAAAAAAUUAGAGUGUUCAAAGCAGGCCUUUGCUCGAAUACGUUAGCAUGGAAUAAUAGAAUAGGACGUGCGGUUCUAUUUUGUUGGUUUCUAGGACCGCCGUAAUGAUUAAUAGGGAUAGUCGGGGGCAUCAGUAUUCAAUUGUCAGAGGUGAAAUUCUUGGAUUUAUUGAAGACUAACUACUGCGAAAGCAUUUGCCAAGGAUGUUUUCAUUAAUCAGUGAACGAAAGUUAGGGGAUCGAAGACGAUCAGAUACCGUCGUAGUCUUAACCGUAAACUAUGCCGACUAGGGAUCGGGCGAUGUUUCUAUCUUGACUCGCUCGGCACCUUACGAGAAAUCAAAGUUUU
rnacentral:rRNA from 1 species